GCCUGCCAAGAGAAGGAGGGGCACGGUAGUGGAUCCUACACCCUCUUCUUGUUUCUCUACUAACUGCACUAUGCUUCAGAACCCUGUAAAAGGGCAGAGUCGGAGGGGAAGUGCCCCUGAGGACAACUGGGACGUUAUAGGGUUGUAGAAACUGGUGCCUUGGAUAUAGAAGAAGGAGGUCUCCAGCCAGCUGAGAGGCAGGCAAGGGGAGACUCCACAUGCAGAGGAGGCAGCUGGGUCCAGAAUGGCACCAGGACCAAUCCAGGGGCCCAUGAAGAGGGCUCUGGCCUAGGAGUCCUGGGCCGAGCUCUGCCCCAUCCUGCUGAGAGGAGACAUGAGGAAAGAUGGAGGAGGAGGCUGUUACUCCCCAGACACUGAAGGAGGGGGGAUCCCAACCACCAAGAAGCCUUCCGGAAGAGUGUGCCAGCUGGAAGGUCUGCGUCAUCAUCGUCGUCUGGGACUGCUGCACACAGCACUCCUCCAGCGGUCAAGGCAGAAGGAAAAUGUCAAUCCCAGCCCCAGAAUUCAUCCUUUUCCACUCUGGGCCCCAGAAACUACUUGAAGUAGUGCCUCUCUGUCAGAGUGAAGGAGCCAACAAGGGACCUUGGACAAGCUUACUGCUUUCCUCUAAGCCUCAUUUUCAACAUCUAUCAGCCAGGCAAGAAAUCCCUCCAAUUCCCCAGCCCCAGGAGAUCCAGAUGGACAUGGGACAGUUUUGAAGAUAAAUAAAACCUCUAGCCUGUUCUUCUGA